rnacentral:lncRNA from 1 species
AUCCGAUCUGUAAAAUCCGAAGUCCGUAAGAUCGAGGUCCGUAAAAUCGAGGUUUUACUGUAUUUUUAUUAUCAUCCAACAAAAUUUUAAGUUAUCAGCAUUCAAUAUAUUAAAUAAAGUUUACUGUAUUAUUAAAAAUACAGCGUAUCAUUUCAUUUUCUUUCGUUAUAUAAUAUAAAAGUGUUCAAUUUUGUUUUUAAUAUAAGCAAUUUUAUAAAAAUUUCCCUUUAAUCGUAUUUAUGUUUACUAAUACCGAAUUUCUAUUCGGUAUUAGUACAUAAAUAUCCAAAUUAAUCGAAAUUUUUCUAUAAUUCGGUUAACUGGCGUUACAGCAUUAUGAAAAAAAUUUUCUAAUUAGGCUACUGUUAUAACCCGCAAUAUUUGAUAUUCUUCAGUUCGAAUUUUUCAAUAAUUCACGCUCGAUUAGCUUUAGUUAUGUGGCCGAAUCUGAGGAAGGAUAUCUUUGGCGGCGGCCACUUCAGCACUGGUGGCAGACUGGAUUCAGCUCGGCCCUUCGAGCCUAGUCAAAAGAUACUACGUUGUGACGCCCUGACCAGAAGGAUCGAGACGCCCAGAAGCUAACUCCAGGAUAAACCAAGAUAUGUCGUCCUAGGCAUUAUCGUCGAUGUAUAGUCAUAUUGGAUUGCCUGCUUUAAUGUUAGAAAACCCAUCCGUCCGCCAUAUUGUUGACCAGUACUUUCGCCAACGUACAUUGGGCGAUAUAACAAAUCGAUUUUGUUUUAUUUUCCAGAUGUAUCUCAUUUAUUUUAGUAAGUAUGAUGGCCAGAUCCUAAUAACUGAUACUAUCCGGUUGACUCCAUCAUGGAUGUUGGCCAGCCUGUGAUGGCUCUAUAAGUGGCCGCCCCAGAUACAGUAGGCUACGUCCCCGGUGCGAUAUGGCGGCUUAACUAAUCUAACUUAACCUAACCUAAUAAUUGAUAAAUAGGUGUAGUAUCCAAAUAUGGAAUAUUAAAUCAUCGAGCCAUUUUAUUAUUGUAAUGUUUUAUAAAUAUACAUCUUCGAUAAUUUCGAAUGAAGUAUGCAAAAUAAUCCAAAUUUCGCAUUUUCCUAA